rnacentral:rRNA from 1 species
AUUAGUUUUUUAAUUGGAGGCUAGAAUGAAUGGUUGGACAAGAAAUAAUCUGUCUUAAUUUAAUGUAUUGAAUUUAACUUUUAAGUGAAAAGGCUUAAAUGAUCUAAGGGGACGAUAAGACCCUAUAAAACUUUAUAUUUAUAAAUAGUAGUUAAUAUAAAAUGAGUUUAUUAUUUUAAAAUAUUUGGUUGGGGUGACGAAGAUAAAAUAAAAAAUAACUGUCUUUUUUUUUUACAAUGAUAUUUGGUUUUAAUGAUCCUGAAGUGGAUUAUAAGAUUAAGUUACUUUAGGGAUAACAGCGUAAUUUUCUUUAAGAGUUCUUAUCGACAGGAAAGUUUGCGACCUCGAUGUUGAAUUAAGAGUUCUUUAUAGAGUAGAGGCUAUAAAAGAAGGUCUGUUCGACC